UGUAGGCUAAGCAGACGCUCAUCGAAAAAAACAAAGCGCGCCUCCAGAACGAAUGUAAGCCGUGCGUCGGAGAGAGGUGUCAAGCCAAGGCGGCCUCCUGCCAAAUUGACAAGCUUCCCCAGAGUGUCCCUACUUGCGCCGGAAUUAAAGCCAUUAACAUAGGUGGCGCCACAACCGACGAAGAGAAGGAGAUUAAGGGGCGCGAACUGUUCGAGCUGUGUAAAUUCUACAUGCGGCAGUGCCCGAAUAACGAGCUGUUCAGCGAAACCUGCACGCAGUCCGUUCUCGACAAAUGUCAGGCAAAGAGCAGAGAGUGCACUGCUGCUGCGCUGCCGACUACUGAGCCUGCUUGUCCGGCCGUAUUAGAGGCAGCUAAGACCGAGGAUCAGCAGAAGA